rnacentral:misc_RNA from 1 species
UAAUAAGUGUUUUAUGGCACUUCUUAAAUCCAUAUCCACCUUGUGUGCAAUGUCAGUCGAUCUUCUUCAUGGAGAUCGACCAAACAUCAACCUUUAUUUUUUAACUCUUUGUCUGAAAAAUAUAUGAAUAAACAAUUCAAAAUA